rnacentral:rRNA from 1 species
UACCCCGCUGAAACUUAAGCAUAUCAAUAAGCGGAGGAAAAGAAACUAACAAGGAUUCCCCUAGUAACUGCGAGUGAAGCGGGAAGAGCUCAAAUUUAAAAUCUGGCGGCCUCGGUCGUCCGAGUUGUAGUCUGGAGAAGUGCUUUCCGCGCUGGACCGUGUACAAGUCUCUUGGAACAGAGCGUCAUAGAGGGUGAGAAUCCCGUCUUUGACACGGACUACCGGUGCUUUGUGAUGCGCUCUCAAAGAGUCGAGUUGUUUGGGAAUGCAGCUCAAAAUGGGUGGUGAAUUCCAUCUAAAGCUAAAUAUUGGCGAGAGACCGAUAGCGAACAAGUACCGUGAGGGAAAGAUGAAAAGCACUUUGGAAAGAGAGUUAAACAGUACGUGAAAUUGCUGAAAGGGAAACGCUUGAAGUCAGUCGCGUCGUUCGGAACUCAGCCUUGCCUCGGCUUGGUGCACUUUCUGAACGACGGGUCAGCAUCGAUUUUGACCGUCGGAAAAAGGCCAGGGUAAUGUGGCACCCUCGGGUGUGUUAUAGACUCUGGUCGCAURCGGCGGUUGGGAUCGAGGAACGCAGCGCGCCGCAAGGCAGGGGUUCGCCCACUUUCGCGCUUAGGAUGCUGGCGUAAUGGCUUUAAGCGACCCGUCUUGAAACACGGACCAAGGAGUCUAACAUGCCUGCGAGUGUUUGGGUGGAAAACCCGAGCGCGCAAUGAAAGUGAAAGUUGAGACCUCUGUCGUGGAGGGCAUCGACGCCCGGACCUGACGUUCUCUGAAGGAUCCGCGGUAGAGCAUGCAUGUUGGGACCCGAAAGAUGGUGAACUAUGCCUGAAUAGGGUGAAGCCAGAGGAAACUCUGGUGGAGGCUCGUAGCGAUUCUGACGUGCAAAUCGAUCGUCAAAUUUGGGUAUAGGGGCGAAAGACUAAUCGAACCAUCUAGUUAACUGGUUCCUGCCGAAGUUUCCCUCAGGAUAGCAGAAACUCGUAAUCAGAUUUAUGGUGGUAUAGCGAAUGAUUAGAGGGCUUGGGGGUUGAAACAACCUUUAAACUAAUUCUUCAAACUUAAAUAAUGAAAGAACGAGCGGUCUUCUUGAUUGGACGGCUUCGCGAAUUGAAGAAUUUCUAAUGGGUCAUUUUUGGUUAAGCAAAACUGAG